CAGCAUCCCUGGGGAGUGAUCUGAAGCUGGCGAGGCAAUGAGGACACCCUGGCAGGGCAGCUGAACUGGGUGGAUCCUUGUUCUGUCACCAAGCCUUUAAGUCAUAUGCUGACAUGUUACAGUCCUGCCUGGGACCCUGCCCACAAAUACUUAAGAUACACGACUUUGGGAAUCACCCAACUGAUGGAAAGAACCAGGAAAGGGGUCAGGAUCUGCACCUUGGCAAACUUUGAAGAACACCCAAUUUGAUGAAUGAAAACUC